UACGGAGGAGGCAAGCGUUAUCCGGAAUUAUUGGGCGUAAAGCGUCCGCAGGUGGCACUUCAAGUCUGUCGUCAAAGACUGGGGCUUAACCCUGGAAAGGCGGCGGAAACUGAAGCGCUAGAGUGCGGUAGGGGUAGAGGGAAUUCCCGGUGUAGCGGUGAAAUGCGUAGAGAUCGGGAAGAACAUCGGUGGCGAAAGCGCUCUACUGGACCGCAACUGACACUCAGGGACGAAAGCUAGGGGAGCGAAUGGG
rnacentral:rRNA from 1 species